CGGGUCUCCUCAGUUCUACUUCUCAAAAUGAAGUUCCCCGCUCAGCUCCUGGGACUCCUGAUGCUCUGGGUCCCUGGAAACAGUGUGAAUGUUGUGAUGACACAGACUCCACUCUCCCUCCCUAUCACCCCUGGAGAGCCGGCCUCCAUCUCCUGCAGGUCUAGUCAGAGCCUCCAACAUAGUAAUGGAAAUAACUAUUUGGAGUGGUUCCUGCAGAAGCCAGGCCGGACUCCACAGCUCCUGAUCUAUUUGGCUUCCAGACGGGCCUCUGGGGUCCCAGACAGGUUCAGUGGCAGUGGGUCAGGCACUGAUUUCACACUGAAAAUUAACAGGGUGGAGGCUGAAGAUGUUGGGGUUUAUUACUGCAUGCAAGUUAUACAUACUCCUCCCACAGUGUUACAGCCCUGA